GGAGAGGUGGCUGAGUGGUCGAAAGCGCCUCACUGCUAACGAGGUGUACCCUUGUGGUACCGCAGGUUCGAAUCCUGUCCUCUCCGCCA
rnacentral:tRNA from 1 species